AGAGUUUGAUCCUGGCUCAGAACGAACGCUGGCGGCGUGCCUAACACAUGCAAGUCGAACGAGAAAUUCCGAUUCGUCGGAAGAGUAGAGUGGCGAACGGGUGAGUAACGCGUGGGUAAUCUGCCCUUGAGUUCGGGAUAACUUCGCGAAAGCGGAGCUAAUACCGAAUAAAACUGACCUUGUUCCGGCAAGAUCAGUAAAAGAUGGCCUCUACAUGUAGCUGUCGCUUAAGGAUGAGCCCGUGUACCAUUAGCUUGUUGGUAGGGUAAUGGCCUACCAAGGCAACGAUGGUUAGCUGGUCUGAGAGGAUGAUCAGCCACACUGGAACUGAGAUACGGUCCAGACUCCUACGGGAGGCAGCAGUGGGGGAUCUUGCGCAAUGGGGGAAACCCUGACGCAGCGACGCCGUGUGAGUGAUGAAGGCCUUCGGGUCGUAAAGCUCUGUCAGGUGGGAAGAAAUAUCUCGAUACGAAUAAUAUCGGGGUUUGACGGUACCACCAAAGGAAGCACCGGCUAACUCCGUGCCAGCAGCCGCGGUAAUACGGAGGGUGCAAGCGUUGUUCGGAAUUAUUGGGCGUAAAGAGCGUGUAGGCGGUUGAACAAGUCAGAUGUGAAAUCCCUCGGCUCAACCGAGGAAGUGCAUUUGAAACUGUUCACUUUGAGUACGGGAGAGGAGAGCGGAAUUCCCGGUGUAGAGGUGAAAUUCGUAGAUAUCGGGAGGAACACCGGUGGCGAAAGCGGUUCUCUGGCCCGAUACUGACGCUGAGACGCGAAAGCGUGGGGAGCAAACAGGAUUAGAUACCCUGUAGUCCACGCCGUAAACGAUGGGCACUAGGUGUAGGAGGUACUGAAUCCUUCUGUGCCGAGCUACGCAUUAGUGCCCGCCUGGGGAGUACGGCCGCAAGGCUAAACUCAAGGAAUUGACGGGGCCGCACAGCGGUGGAGCAUGUGUUUAUCGAUGCACGCGAAGAACUACCUGGGCUUGACAUCCCGAAGUCUGGAGCAGGAUCUUCCCUUCGGGACUGGGUGACAGUGCUGCAUGCUGUCGUCACUCUGUCUGAAGAUUGGCUAAGUUCCGCACAGAGGCAAACCUCGUCUAAUGCCAGCAU
rnacentral:rRNA from 1 species